GCCUGGGUGGCUCAGUCAGUUAAGCAUCUGACUUCAGCUCAGGUCGUAAUCUCACAGCUUGUGAGUUUGAGCCCCAUUUCGGGCU
rfam:Felis catus isolate Cinnamon breed Abyssinian chromosome C2, whole genome shotgun sequence.